rnacentral:rRNA from 1 species
UAGCCGUAAACGAUACUCGCUAGGUGUCGGCCACGGUGCGACCGUUGUCGGUGCCGUAGGGAAGCCGUGAAGCGAGCCACCUGGGAAGUACGGCCGCAAGGCUGAAACUUAAAGGAAUUGGCGGGGGAGCACCACAACGGGUGGAGCUUGCGGUUUAAUUGGAUUCAACGCCGGAAAUCUUACCGGGACCGACAGCAACAUGAAGGCCAAGCUGAAGACUUUGCCGGAUUAGCUGAGAGGAGGUGUAUGGCGUAGUCGUGU